rnacentral:rRNA from 1 species
GAUGAACGCUGACAGAAUGCUUAACACAUGCAAGUCAACUUGAAUUUGGGUUUUUAACUUAGAUUUGGGUGGUGGACGGGUGAGUAACGCGUAAAGAACUUGCCUCACAGCUAGGGACAACAUUUAGAAAUGAAUGCUAAUACCUGAUAUUAUGAUUUUAAGGCAUCUUAGAAUUAUGAAAGCUAUAAGCACUGUGAGAGAGCUUUGCGUCCCAUUAGCUAGUUGGAGAGGUAACAGCUCACCAAGGCGAUGAUGGGUAGCCGGCCUGAGAGGGUGAACGGCCACAAGGGGACUGAGACACGGCCCUUACUCCUACGGGAGGCAGCAGUGGGGAAUAUUGGACAAUGGACCGAGAGUCUGAUCCAGCAAUUCUGUGUGCACGAUGAAGUUUUUCGGAAUGUAAAGUGCUUUCAGUUGGGAAGAAAGAAAUGACGGUACCAACAGAAGAAGUGACGGCUAAAUACGUGCCAGCAGCCGCGGUAAUACGUAUGUCACGAGCGUUAUCCGGAUUUAUUGGGCGUAAAGCGCGUCUAGGUGGUUAUGUAAGUCUGAUGUGAAAAUGCAGGGCUCAACUCUGUAUUGCGUUGGAAACUGUAUAACUAGAGUACUGGAGAGGUAAGCGGAACUACAAGUGUAGAGGUGAAAUUCGUAGAUAUUUGUAGGAAUGCCGAUGGGGAAGCCAGCUUACUGGACAGAUACUGACGCUAAAGCGCGAAAGCGUGGGUAGCAAACAGG